rnacentral:lncRNA from 1 species
UGGGGCUGGACAUGGAUGGCGGCGCACUCAGCCCACUGUUCCCUUUGGCUUGCAGGUGGCCAUCAAAAAGGUGCCACGGAACCGUGUUCAGCACUGGGGCGAGCUGCCCAAUGGCACCAGCGCACCUCUGGAGAUUGUGCUGCUGGACAAGGUGUCCACAGGCUUCCCCAGUGCUGUGCAGCUGCUGGAGUGGCUUGAGCUCCCCAACCACAUCGUGAUGGUGUUGGAUCGCCCAGAGUGGCGUGAGGACCUGCAGCAUUUCAUUCAGGCACGGAGGUUCCUGUCCGAGGAAGAGGCGCGGGAGCUGUUCCGGCAGGUGCUGGCGGCCAUGCGGCACUGCACCAGCUGCAGGGUCCUACACCAAGACAUCAAAUCAGAGACCAUCCUGGUUGACCUGGCCAGGCAAAACUGAUUGACUUUGGCUGUGACACCUACCUUCAGGAGACAGCCUACACUCAAUUUGCAGGAACACUGUCAUACAGCCUCCCGGAAUGGAACGACUUUGGGUGGUACCAUGGCGAGGCAGCAACCGUCUGGUCCCUGGGCAUCCUGCUGCAUGAGAUGGUCUGCGGGAAGCACCCUUUCAGGAGGGGCUGGAACAUCAGCUGGGCCCAGCUCCCGCUGCCACAACGGCUCUCCCAAGAUUGCCAAGUUCUGAUCAGGCGGUGUUUAUCCCUGCACUACUUGGACAGGCCCUCAUUAGAAGACCUGUUCUGUGAUCCCUGGAUGCAGAUAUUCAUCUGCCAUAGAAGAAGGGAGAGAGCCACAGGCACAGUGAUGCAGGGACCUGGUAAGUUACAGCUCCACACAUACCCUGGCAAUCAGAAGCAAAGAAACCCAGACUUCUUUGUCCUGCCUGUGUCACUGCACUGGGGUCAUCAAAUGGGAACACGCAGCCCUUGUGCUGGAGCUGAGCUGCUCUGCCCAGCACUGGUGGCCGCCAUCUGA